UACGAAGGGGGCUAGCGUUGUUCGGAUUUACUGGGCGUAAAGCGCACGUAGGCGGAUCGUUAAGUCGAGGGUGAAAUCCUGGAGCUCAACUCCAGAACUGCCUUCGAUACUGGCGAUCUUGAGUCCGGAAGAGGUGAGUGGAACUCCUAGUGUAGAGGUGGAAUUCGUAGAUAUUAGGAAGAACACCAGUGGCGAAGGCGGCUCACUGGUCCGGUACUGACGCUGAGGAGCGAAAGCGUGGGGAGCGAACAGG
rnacentral:rRNA from 1 species